UUGACGGGACCCGCACAAGCGGUGGAUGAUGUGGUUUAAUUCGAUGCAACGCGAAAACCUUACCCACCUUUGACAUGUACGGAACCCUUUAGAGAUAGAGGGGUGCUCGAAAGAGAGCCGUAACACAGGUGCUGCAUGGCUGUCGUCAGCUCGUGUCGUGAGAUGUUGGGUUAAGUCCCGCAACGAGCGCAACCCUUGUCAUUAGUUGCUACAUUCAGUUGGGCACUCUAAUGAGACUGCCGGUGACAAGCCGGAGGAAGGUGGGGAUGACGUCAAGUCCUCAUGGCCCUUAUAGGUGGGGCUACACACGUCAUACAAUGGCUGGUACAAAGGGUUGCCAACCCGCGAGGGGGAGCCAAUCCCAUAAAGCCAGUCGUAGUCCGGAUCGUAGUCUGCAACUCGACUACGUGAAGUCGGAAUCGCUAGUAAUCGUGGAUCAGAAUGUCACGGUGAAUACGUUCCCGGGUCUU
rnacentral:rRNA from 1 species